UACGUAGGGGGCAAACGUUGUCCGGAUUUACUGGGUGUAAAGGGCGCGUAGGCGGGUUUGUAAGUCAGAGGUGAAAUCCUGCGGCUCAACCGCAGAACUGCCUUUGAUACUGCAAAUCUUGAGUACAGAAGAGAGAAGCAGAAUUCCAGGUGUAGUAGUGAAAUACGUAGAUAUCUGGAAGAAUACCGGCGGCGAAGGCGGCUUCUUGGUCUGUAACUGACGCUGAGGCGCGAAAGCGUGGGUAGCAAAC
rnacentral:rRNA from 1 species